GACCCGGUGGCCAAUGGUGGCGCCCGCACCGCAUAAUGGGUAUAGGUGCGUAAUUGCAAGCGGGAGGUCCUGGUUCGAUUCCGGGUUGGGUCA